AUAGUGAAAUAUAUAUGGUGUAUUAUUUCUUAUAUCUUGAAGGUCGGGAUUUGCCUGCUUCAUAUGGUGGUGGAAAUGCACUAUCAUUGUUUCAUUUACUGCAUGUAUAGUUCCUCCCUUUCUAUAAAAAGAACACAACCAACCACUCUCUAAGGGCUUACAUUAUUAUGUUUGGAAGGCUGGUGCCAGAGGGGACAGCUUUCGUGGUCAUGUGACAUGACCAUAUGUGGAAAAGGGCCAAAGUUCCUUGUUCUUGGUGUGGAUCUCACACAAGGCAUUCCACUCUGGUCACCGAGCAAUCAACACCGAGUUACUCGAGCCAUCUUAAGGUUUGGACUCUGGUCGUGUGGGGGCUAUACCUGUGGGGUAUACACUACUUGUAUAUUGAUUUAUAGAUCCUGGGGAUAAAUGAUCCUAUAUGGAAACCCCAGUGUUCUAAUUUACUUAUAAUUAAUUAACCCUAUUAUUAAAGCCCUUCAGAUCCUGAA